AGGACGAACGCUGGCGGCGUGCUUAACACAUGCAAGUCGAGCGGUAAGGCCUUUCGGGGUACACGAGCGGCGAACGGGUGAGUAACACGUGGGUGAUCUGCCCUGCACUUCGGGAUAAGCCUGGGAAACUGGGUCUAAUACCGGAUAUGACCUCCUAUCGCAUGGUGGGUGGUGGAAAGAUUUAUCGGUGCAGGAUGGGCCCGCGGCCUAUCAGCUUGUUGGUGGGGUAAUGGCCUACCAAGGCGACGACGGGUAGCCGACCUGAGAGGGUGACCGGCCACACUGGGACUGAGACACGGCCCAGACUCCUACGGAGGCAGCAGUGGGGAAUAUUGCACAAUGGGCGAAAGCCUGAUGCAGCGACGCCGCGUGAGGAUGACGGCCUCGGUUGUAAACCGUCUUCUAGCAGGACGAAGACGCAAGUAGACGGUACCGUGCAGAAGAAGACGACCGGACAACUACGUGCCAGCAGCCGAC
rnacentral:rRNA from 1 species